UAGGUAGGUUUAUUAUGUACUCCCUCCAUCUCAAAUUAUAAUUCAUUCUAAAAAUCUUAGAGAGUCAAAAUAUCCUAAAGAAUAUAUAUUUUCGUGAGUGUGGAGUAACACCACCAAGAAAACGUCAUUUUCUUAACGGUUUGAUUUUGGUCCCCAAGGAAACACUACUACACAAAAUAUUAUCCGAGGCGGACAAAAUAGAUUUACCGAGGCAAUAUUAUCCGAAGCGGACAAAAUAGAUUUACCGAGGCGGAAAUCACAACCGCCUCGCACAUAAAGUCACAGUAAAUAGGGCAUAAGGUCACAGUAAAUAGGGCAUUUUUCGAGGCGGAUUGAUGCCCGCCUCGGUAAAUCAAAUAAAAAACAAAAAAGGAAAAAGCCCGUAGACGAGCCCGCCGAGCCCAUCCACGAGCUACCACCACCGUUGCCGCUGCUCCUCAUUGUACCUCUCCGUCGCCUCCCGAUGGAGCCAGGGAGGGAGGGGAGGAGGCCGGAUCCGCAGCCGUUGGGCUCCAGCCCACUGGAACCAUGGCUGUAGCCCACCUCUUCGCUGGAUCUACGCCGUAGGGAGAGGAGGGAGGAAGUCAAAGCAUGGCCGGUGUUGCCAUGAUGAGGGGGUGGAGGAGCGUCGCUGCGGAGAGGCCGGAACCAGCCACCACGCCAUCGGAUCCACGCUCGCCGCCUCCAGAUCCAUGCUUGGUGACGCGUGAGCUUGGGCACAGGAGGGAGGAGAGGGAGAGGCGCCGGCGCCGCGUGAGCUCGGGCGCUCUGGGCACGGACAGAGGGGAGGGAGAUGCGCCGGCGCCGAGGGAGGGGAUCGGAGGGAGAGGUGCCACGCGAGCUUGGGUGCUCUGGUGACGGAGAGGGAGAAGGAGGGGGAGGGGAGGCGCUGUUGCUCGGGUGCUCUGGUGACGGAGAGGGAGAAUGAGAGGGAGGGGAGGCGCGUGACUGUGUGAGAAAAGGAAGGGU
rnacentral:lncRNA from 1 species